rnacentral:rRNA from 1 species
GUCGAGCGGCAGCGCGGGGGCAACCUGGCGGCGAGCGGCGGACGGGUGAGGAAUACAUCGGAAUCUACCCAGUCGUGGGGGAUAACGUAGGGAAACUUACGCUAAUACCGCAUACGACCUGAGGGUGAAAGCAGGGGACCGCAAGGCCUUGCGCGAUUGGAUGAGCCGAUGUCCGAUUAGCUAGUUGGUGAGGUAAAGGCUCACCAAGGCGACGAUCGGUAGCUGGUCUGAGAGGAUGAUCAGCCACACUGGAACUGAGACACGGUCCAGACUCCUACGGGAGGCAGCAGUGGGGAAUAUUGGACAAUGGGCGCAAGCCUGAUCCAGCCAUGCCGCGUGUGUGAAGAAGGCCUUCGGGUUGUAAAGCACUUUUGUCCGGGAAGAAAAGCUCCGGGUUAAUACCCUGGGGUUCUGACGGUACCGGAAGAAUAAGCACCGGCUAACUUCGUGCCAGCAGCCGCGGUAAUACGAAGGGUGCAAGCGUUACUCGGAAUUACUGGGCGUAAAGCGUGCGUAGGUGGUUCGUUAAGUCUGCCGUGAAAGCCCGGGGCUCAACCUGGGAAUGGCGGUGGAUACUGGCGGACUAGAGUGCGGUAGAGGGUGGUGGAAUUCCCGGUGUAGCAGUGAAAUGCGUAGAGAUCUGGAGGAACACCGAUGGCGAAGGCAGCCCCCUGGGCUAACACUGACGCUCAUGCACGAAAGCGUGGGGAGCAAACAGGAUUAGAUACCCUGGUAGUCCACGCCCUAAACGAUGUCAACUGGUUGUCGGGGAAGCAAUUCCUUGGUAA